rnacentral:rRNA from 1 species
AUUGAACGCUGGCGGCAGGCCUAACACAUGCAAGUCGAACGAGUGGCGGACGGGUGAGUAAUGUCUGGGAAACUGCCCGAUGGAGGGGGAUAACUACUGGAAACGGUAGCUAAUACCGCAUACCAUCGGAUGUGCCCAGAUGGGCUUAGCUAGUAGGUGGGGUAACGGCUCACCUAGGCGACGAUCCCUAGCUGGUCUGAGAGUAUGACCAGCCACACUGGAACUGAGAAAGGGUCCAGACUCCGACGGGAGGCAGCAGUGGGGAAUAUUGCACAAUGGGCGCAAGCCUGAUGCAGCCAUGCCGCGUGUAUGAAGAAGGCCGUCGGGGUGUAAAGUACGUUCAGCGAGGAGGCGUUACUCGCAGAAGAAGCACCGGCUAACUCCGUGCCAGCAGCGCGGUAAUAC